CCUACGGGAGGCAGCAGUGAGGAAUCUUGGUCAAUGGACGAGAGUCUGAACCAGCCAAGUAGCGUGAAGGAUUACUGCCCUAUGGGUUGUAAACUUCUUUUAUAUGGGAAUAAAACGUUCCACGUGUGGGAUUUUGUAUGUACCAUAUGAAUAAGGAUCGGCUAACUCCGUGCCAGCAGCCGCGGUAAUACGUGGGAUCCGAGCGUUAUCCGGAUUUGUUGGGUUUAAAGGGAGCGUAGGUGGAUUGUUAAGCUAGGUGUGAAAGUUUGCGGCUCAACCGUAAAAUUGCAGUUGAAACUGGCAGUCUUGAGUACAGUAGAGGUGGGCGGAAUUCGUGGUGUAGCGGUGAAAUGCUUAGAUAUCACGAAGAACUCCGAUUGCGAAGGCAGUUCACUGGACUGCAACUGACACUGAGGCUCGAAAGUGUGGGUAUCAAACAGGAUUAGAUACCCGAGUAGUC
rnacentral:rRNA from 1 species